AAUAAAUUUUUAUGAUUUAUAAAAUUUAAUUUAAAUUUAUUUUACAUGUAAAUUUUAGUGUUAAUUUUUAAUUAUUUUAAUAAUAAUUAUUAAUAUUUGCAGUAAUUAAAAUUAAAAAUUUAAGAAAUUAAGAUUUAGAAAUAUUUUGAUUAUUAACAAAUUUUGUGCCAGCAGUUGCGGUUAUACAAAAAAUAAUUUAAAUUUUAUCGGUAUAUAAUAAAUAAUUUUUAUUUAAAUU
rnacentral:rRNA from 1 species